UACCUAUUACGAUUCUGGAAAUCAAAAUCGGAGACUACCCUAACUGUUGGACGGAAGAAAGAUCAGGAACCUACUCCAAAUCUCGUUCUCCUUCAUACUCUCAGCUCUAAAUCGCACCCCAAAUCGUGUUCUCCUUCACACUCUCGCUCUCAAUCUCUGCUUCGCACUCUCGCUCUCAAUCUCACUGGCGCUCUCGAUUGUGCUCCUUCUCUGCUUCGCACUCUCGCUCUCAAUCUCACUGGCGCUCUCGAUCGUGCUCUUCCACUCCUUGAAUCUCUCUCUCGUUUCAACAAAUUCUAGGGUUGGGUUUGUUAUUCUCUGUUUUGAGGUUUUGAAUUUAGGUAUAAAUGAGUUUAAUUACUCCUUCAAUUCAGUGGUGGGACUAGCAAGAAAACUUUACAAUCAGAUUUGCUAAUCAGAAUUGGAGAAUAACGGAACGGGAUUUUGUGGAAGAAAUUGGAGCCAGAGAGAAGCCAUGGCUCAGCGGUUUUCGUUUCGCUUUUCUACUUUCAAGUUAAUAGUUAAUGCUCUCACACUCUCGGUCAGUCACAAAGCUCCCAACCUCUGACUCUGGCCAGUCUAUGCUCACCUCUCUCUUGCCGGUGCUCGCCUCUCACUCUUGACGGUCUGUACUCGCCUCUAGCCGGCUCAUCUGCUCAUCUCUAUGUGUGCUUCUCUGCUCGCCUCCGUCUGUCGCCUUGAAUUUCUGUUUAAAUAGGAAAGGUGUAAAGGGUGAAACACAAUUUGAGUGUUGUUCGUUCCUUUAUAUACAAUUAAAUAAUUUGGGUGUAAAGAGCUAAGAAAAUUUUAGAUGCUGGAGCCUUAGAAAAUGUUUCUGCCAUAUUUCGAUUGCAUGUGGCACCAAAGUUACCUAUAGGCGUAGUGGCAUCUAGAUCUGGUUCUUUCGUUGCCGGAAGCGGCUUCUUUGAAGCAAUAAUAAGUGGCAAGGGAAGUCAUGCAGCCAUUCCUCAGCAUUCUAUAGACCCCAUAUUGGCAGCUUCUAAUGUGAUUGUUAGCUUACAACAUAUCAUUUCUCGCGAGGCCGAUCCUCUGGAUUCCCAGGGGGGAAUUGAAGACGGUGAAGAGCCCAAAUUGGCUGUUAUUAGGGAGCUUCGAGAAGAAACUGGAAUAGCUUCUGCUGAGAUAAGUUAGCCAUGGAUAAGAGUUGGAUGCUCAAACCGCGAACUUCUAAGAAGUACUUAGAUGGAUUAGAUGAGUUUCUUGAUUUUGCAUUUCAUAAUGCAGCUGAAGGAACUCAGAUUCUAUGCCCUUGUAAGAAUUGCAAUAAUUGUUCUUGGAGAAAUCGAGAGGAUGUUUACGAGCAUUUAGUUUGUGAUGGGUUUGAUAAGGGAUACAAUAAGUGGAUAUUUCAUGGAGAAUGUGGAUCUUCAAAAUCUGCUGAGAAGGAUGGAUCUGAAAUACAAGAUAACUUGGAUAAAUUGUUGGAAGAGACUUUCAUGAUGUCGAGGCAAUUUGAAACGAGUCAAUUUGAUGACGCAUUGGAUGAGGAUGAAAAUGAAGAAGAGCCUGAUGAAGAAACUAAGAAGUUUUACAAGUUGAUCCAUGAUGCUCAUCAAGAAUUAUAUCUGGGAUGUAAAGAUUUUACAAAGUUAUCAACUAUUGUUCGUUUGCUCCACAUAAAGAACCUUCAUGGUUGGAGCAACGUAUCAUUUAAUAUGUUACUACAACUACUCAAUGAAUUACUUCCCGAAGGCUCGUGUCUACCAUCAAUAUAUGAAGAAUGCAAGUACAUCAUCAAGGGCUUAGAUUUCAGUUAUGAAAAAAUUGACGCUUGUCCAAAUGACUGUAUCUUAUACUGGAAGAAGUUUAAGGAAUACACUACUUGUCCAAAGUGUGGUGCUUCUAGGUAUAAAAUGAAAAAGGUCCAAAGUGCUAAAAGAAAAGUUUCUUGCAAGUUAACUUCUCAACCAAUUCCAGCAAAGAUUUUGAGGUAUUUUCCUUUGAAACUGAGGAUCAAGAAACUAUUCAUAUCUUCAAAAACCGCUGAUCUGAUGACGUGGCACAAUAAAGGUCGUAAAAAUGAUGGAAAACUAAGGCAUCCGGCAGACUCACCAGCUUGGAAAACUUUCGAUUCGUUACAUUCAAAUUUUGCAUUGGAGCCUCGAAAUGUGAGGAUGGGUUUAGCAAGUGAUGGUUUUAACCCAUAUAAAACAAUGAGUAGUAGAUACAGUAUUUGGCCGGUGGUCCUGACGAUAUAUAACUUGUCUCCAUGGGAUUGCAUGAAACAACAUUCUAUGAUGUUGUCUUUGCUUAUUCCUGGUCCUUCUUCUCCUAAUAGAAAUAUUGAUAUAUAUUUACAACCUUUAAUCGAUGAGUUAAAAGAGUUGUGGGAGAAUGGCUUUGAGACAUAUGAUGCUUCUAGUGGAAAGUUAUUUCGUGUACAUGCUGCCUUACUUUGGACUAUAAGCGAUUUGCCUGGUUACUCUAUGUUAUCUGGUUGGCGUACAAGUGGAAAAUUGGCAUGUCCUGUUUGUAAUUAUGACACAUGCUCUAGAUUCUUGAAACAUAGUAAAAAAACGUGUUACAUGGGACAUCGAAGAUUUUUAGCAUCAAAGCAUCGGUGGCGAAAGGACAAGAAGAGUUUUGACGGUACGAAAGAGCUAAGAACAGCACCUGUACCACUAUCAGGGCCUGAUGUAUUAGAAAAAUUAGGCAAUAGGGAGAAUUCGUUUGGGAAGACUAUAAAGAGGAGAAGAAAUGAUGAUGAUCCCUGGACUAAGAAAAGCAUCUUUUUCGAGUUACCAUAUUGGAGUACUAAUUUGCUUCGUCACAACUUAGAUGUAAUGCACAUUGAAAAGAAUAUUUGUGAAAAUAUUGUUGGAACAUUAUUGAAUUUAGAAGGAAAAUCAAAAGAUCAUCUCAAAGCAAGGCUUGACUUGGUAGAUAUGGAGAUACGGCAUGAACUUCAUCCAAAAAAUAUAGGACUAAAUAAGACAUUUUUGCCACCAGCACGUUUCACAAUGUCUUCAAAGGAAAAAAGUGACUUUUGUUGUGUUUUGAAAAAUGUGAAGCUUCCUGAAGGGUAUGGCUCCAAUAUUUCUAGGUGUGUUCAACUGGAACAUCACAAACUUCUUGGUCUUAAGAGUCACGACUACCAUAUAUUGAUGCAAGACUUGCUUAAAAUAGCAAUUCGAAGAGCCUUACCAAAAGAAGUUGUGAGAGUUCUACUCAAGUUCAGUUCAUACUUCAAGACUUUAUGCUCUAAAGUUAUCAGAGUUGAUGUGUUUGAACAAUUAGAUGUCGAAAUUGCACAAAUUCUUUGUGAAUUAGAAAGAAUAUUUCCACCAUCAUUUUUUGUGCUAAUGAUCCAUUUGUCUAUGCAUCUAGCAUAUGAAGCAAGACUUGGUGGACCUGUCCAAUACCGUUGGAUGUACCCAAUUGAGAGGUUCCUACUCAAAUUGAAGAAUUAUGUCCGUAAUAAAAGUCGUCCUGAGGGAUCUAUUGCAGAAGGGUAUUUAGCAGAUGAAUGUUUGACAUUUUGUUCAAGAUACUUGAAUGACAAUGUCCGAACAAAAUUCAAUAACCCAACAAAGAAUCUUGACGGCCCAAUAGGGAAUGGGGUGAUGAUAAGUCUGGAUCCUCUUAUGUGGGAGCAAUCUCAUCGAUAUGUAUUGUUCAAUUGUAAUAUCACCGCUCCAUAUAUCAAACAACAUGAGGAGAUUGUUUUUAGUGAUGCUCAUAGCCUUGGAGAUAAAUGGGACAAGACAAAAGACCAUUGUCUUACUUUUACGGAAUUGUUUGAAGAUUUUGCUAGGAAUUCAUCUGUUAAUAAGGAGUUGAAGUGGUUGUCUAGAGGGCCAAAUGUUGCUGCAAGAAGAUUUUCUGCUUAUGUGAUAAAUGGUUAUAAGUUUGUGACUGAAGAUUGUGAGAGAAAAACACAAAAUACUGGAGUUAUUGUUAUUUCAUCCACUGUCAAGUUUAGAAAUGAGAAAGAUGAGGAUCCAGAAGUAGAAAAUGUCACUUAUUAUGGAGUUCUAAAAGAUAUACCUGAGUUAGAUUAUCAUGGGCAUUCUAAAUAUGUGCUAUUUAAGUGCGAUUGGUUUCAAAGUAAAAAAGACAACUUUGGGUUAACACUGGUAAACUUUAGAAAGCCAAUUUAUGAAAAUGAUCCAUUCGUGUUUGCAACUCAAGUAAGACAAGUUUAUUACACAGAAGAUCCAAGUGAUACUUGGCAUGUUGUUACCAACACCAUUCCAAGGGAUUUGUUUGAUAUAUACGGUGACUUAGAUAAUGAUGACAUGGAAAAGUUCAAGGAUGGUCCUCAAAUAACAAGUUCUAUGCUUUAUCAAUCUACAAGUGUUGAAGAUGAUGUUAAUUGGAUUAGGGAUGAUAUACCUGGGACAACAAUUGAUACAUGCAUCUUAGAUAAUCAACCAAUGGGAGAAGAGUCUCAAGAUAAUCUUGAUUUUAGUCAUAGAGAUAUGUCAACCCUAUGAUUUUCUUCCUUCUAGGUAAUUUCAUACUCCUCUCAAUCCCCUUUACUAAUAAUUAUUUUAUUAAAUUGUAAGAAUCUUGAUUUUGCUUCCUUUUACGCUUCUCUCCUUCUGGGCUGAAUAGAGGUCUUGCUGCAAAUGAGGAUGAUUUGAGAAAGGCGGAUGCUGCGGCUAAGGAACUCGAAGCUGCCGAAGGACUAGUUGAUCUCUUGGCUGACCUCGAUAAAUUGCAAGGAAGAUGGAAACUGAUAUAUAGCAGUGCAUUCUCAUCUCGUACUCUAGGCGGCAGCCGGCCUGGACCUCCCACCGUAAGACUCCUUCCUAUAACUCUUGGACAAUUCUGUUUCUGAACUAGUAUCAUGCAUGAUAUAACUGUAAAUUGCUUUAGCCUGGUUCCAAGCCCUGUUCUUGCCGUCCUUUUCCUUUAUCCACUCACCUCUAAGAUGUACAGGGAAAGAUUUUGCCAAGGGUAACACACUGGCAAAGCCCCAAUUAUUUUGUUCUCGAUUGGCUUGCAAAGGCACUUAAGCUGCCUCAUGAUUUCCAUUCUACUGAAAUUGUAUUGCAGGGCAAGGUGGUGGAGUUAUUCAAGGAACAACGAGUGAAGCAGUAAUAGUUGUCUUGUUGGCUGCUCGGGCAAGAUCUUAAGGACGGUUGGAAAAGGCGCUCUUCCUAAGCUUGUGACAUAUGCAUCUGAUCAAACACACUCUUCUCUACUAAAAGCCUGCCAGAUAGGUGGACUUAAUCCUGAGCUUUGCAGGUCACUAAAAACUGAUGUUUCAACAAAUUAUGCACUUUCUCCUGAAGUAUUUUCUGAAGCAGUUUCAAGAGACAUUGCUAGUGGUCUUAUACCAUUUUUCUUAUGUGCUAUUGUUGGUACAACUUCAUUAACUGCUAUUGAUCCUCUACCUGAAAUGAGAAAAAUUGAGGUGUAUCAACUGAAGAACUCAUUCACAUCAACACAAGUAUAGUUUUGGAAGCACUUGGCGCUGCCCCUGUUCCAGGUGCUACUACUCUGACUGAAAAGCUGAACCACCAAGGUUUCAGUUUCAAAGGCACGCGCAAUCAUUGUAUUAGCUUCAGAUGAAAAUGCUGAUCAAUGUGAUGCACGAGCUUUGAGAGUUGUUCUCAGCCUCAAGUGUAAAUAAAGUCUUAAGAGGCCAUGUUGUUGUGGAGAUGAGUAUUGCUAAGAUCAGGAAUUAAAUUGUCUCAUUGUCUUGCUGCUGCAAUGCACAUGCUUGGAUUUGCACCUGUAAGGGAGAUGCUUGGUGCUGGCAUUAGUUUGUUUUUGUUGGUAACUCAUUCUGAAAUUUCUUAGGUAGCUAGGCCUUAGAGUGUGUUAUGUGUAGUAUAUUUUGUAUUUAAUCAUGUAAGCAUAUUGAAAAAAUAGAAAAAUUGACUUAUUGGUCCAAUUUUAAUGUUUAAAUAUCUUGGAUUUAA